rnacentral:rRNA from 1 species
UACAGAGGAGCCAAGCGUUGUCCGGAUUGACUGGGCGUAAAGCGCACGCAGGCGGCCGCGCGCGUGGGGUGUGAAAUCUGGCCGCUUAACGGCCAGGCGCCAUCCCAUACGGCGCGGCUGGAGCCAUGCAGAGGGCGGUGGAAUUGCCGGUGUAGUGGUGAAAUGCGUAGAGAUCGGCAGGAACACCCAGGGGGAAACCAGCCGCCUGGGCAUGCGCUGACGCUGAGGUGCGGGAGCGUGGGGAGCGAACCGG